UUUAUGGAGAGUUUGAUCCUGGCUCAGGAUGAACGCUGGCGGCGUGCCUAAUACAUGCAAGUCGAGCGAACGGACGAGAAGCUUGCUUCUCUGAUGUUAGCGGCGGACGGGUGAGUAACACGUGGAUAACCUACCUAUAAGACUGGGAUAACUUCGGGAAACCGGAGCUAAUACCGGAUAAUAUUUUGAACCGCAUGGUUCAAAAGUGAAAGACGGUCUUGCUGUCACUUAUAGAUGGAUCCGCGCUGCAUUAGCUAGUUGGUAAGGUAACGGCUUACCAAGGCAACGAUGCAUAGCCGACCUGAGAGGGUGAUCGGCCACACUGGAACUGAGACACGGUCCAGACUCCUACGGGAGGCAGCAGUAGGGAAUCUUCCGCAAUGGGCGAAAGCCUGACGGAGCAACGCCGCGUGAGUGAUGAAGGUCUUCGGAUCGUAAAACUCUGUUAUUAGGGAAGAACAUAUGUGUAAGUAACUGUGCACAUCUUGACGGUACCUAAUCAGAAAGCCACGGCUAACUACGUGCCAGCAGCCGCGGUAAUACGUAGGUGGCAAGCGUUAUCCGGAAUUAUUGGGCGUAAAGCGCGCGUAGGCGGUUUUUUAAGUCUGAUGUGAAAGCCCACGGCUCAACCGUGGAGGGUCAUUGGAAACUGGAAAACUUGAGUGCAGAAGAGGAAAGUGGAAUUCCAUGUGUAGCGGUGAAAUGCGCAGAGAUAUGGAGGAACACCAGUGGCGAAGGCGACUUUCUGGUCUGUAACUGACGCUGAUGUGCGAAAGCGUGGGGAUCAAACAGGAUUAGAUACCCUGGUAGUCCACGCCGUAAACGAUGAGUGCUAAGUGUUAGGGGGUUUCCGCCCCUUAGUGCUGCAGCUAACGCAUUAAGCACUCCGCCUGGGGAGUACGACCGCAAGGUUGAAACUCAAAGGAAUUGACGGGGACCCGCACAAGCGGUGGAGCAUGUGGUUUAAUUCGAAGCAACGCGAAGAACCUUACCAAAUCUUGACAUCAUUUGACAACUCUAGAGAUAGAGCCUUCCCCUUCGGGGGACAAAGUGACAGGUGGUGCAUGGUUGUCGUCAGCUCGUGUCGUGAGAUGUUGGGUUAAGUCCCGCAACGAGCGCAACCCUUAAGCUUAGUUGCCAUCAUUAAGUUGGGCACUCUAAGUUGACUGCCGGUGACAAACCGGAGGAAGGUGGGGAUGACGUCAAAUCAUCAUGCCCCUUAUGAUUUGGGCUACACACGUGCUACAAUGGACAAUACAAAGGGCAGCAAAACCGCGAGGUCAAGCAAAUCCCAUAAAGUUGUUCUCAGUUCGGAUUGUAGUCUGCAACUCGACUACAUGAAGCUGGAAUCGCUAGUAAUCGUAGAUCAGCAUGCUACGGUGAAUACGUUCCCGGGUCUUGUACACACCGCCCGUCACACCACGAGAGUUUGUAACACCCGAAGCCGGUGGAGUAACCUUUUAGGAGCUAGCCGUCGAAGGUGGGACAAAUGAUUGGGGUGAAGUCGUAACAAGGUAGCCGUAUCGGAAGGUGCGGCUGGAUCACCUCCUUU
rnacentral:rRNA from 1 species